AGCGAACGCUGGCGGCAGGCCUAACACAUGCAAGUCGAACGGAUCCUUCGGGAUUAGUGGCGGACGGGUGAGUAACACGUGGGAACGUGCCCUUUGGUUCGGAACAACUCAGGGAAACUUGAGCUAAUACCGGAUGUGCCCUUCGGGGGAAAGAUUUAUCGCCAUUGGAGCGGCCCGCGUCUGAUUAGCUAGUUGGUGAGGUAACGGCCCACCAAGGCGACGAUCAGUAGCUGGUCUGAGAGGAUGAUCAGCCACACUGGGACUGAGACACGGCCCAGACUCCUACGGGAGGCAGCAGUGGGGAAUCUUGCGCAAUGGGCGAAAGCCUGACGCAGCCAUGCCGCUUGAAUGAUGAAGGUCUUAGGAUUGUAAAAUUCUUUCAGCGGGGACGAUAAUGACGGUACCCGCAGAAGAAGCUCCGGCUAACUUCGUG
rnacentral:rRNA from 1 species